CAAAAAUUAGUUAAAGUAUAACAUAGCCUUGUCAAGACUAAAUUAUUUAUAAAAUAUUUUUGU
rnacentral:tRNA from 1 species